rnacentral:rRNA from 1 species
CAAACGGAGGAAAGGAAACCAACAGGGAUUGCCUUAGUAGCGGCGAGUGAAGCGGCAAAAGCUCAAAUUUGAAAUCUGGCGCCUUCGGUGUCCGAGUUGUAAUUUGAAGAUUGUAACCUUGGGGUUGGCUCUUGUCUAUGUUUCUUGGAACAGGACGUCACAGAGGGUGAGAAUCCCGUGCGAUGAGAUGCCCAAUUCUAUGUAAGGUGCUUUCGAAGAGUCGAGUUGUUUGGGAAUGCAGCUCUAAGUGGGUGGUAAAUUCCAUCUAAAGCUAAAUAUUGGCGAGAGACCGAUAGCGAACAAGUACAGUGAUGGAAAGAUGAAAAGAACUUUGAAAAGAGAGUGAAAAAGUACGUGAAAUUGUUGAAAGGGAAGGGUUUGAGAUCAGACUCGAUAUUUUGUGAGCCUUGCCUUCGUGGCGGGGUGACCCGCAGCUUAUCGGGCCAGCAUCGGUUUGGGCGGUAGGAUAAUGGCGUAGGAAUGUGACUUUACUUCGGUGAAGUGUUAUAGCCUGCGUUGAUGCUGCCUGCCUAGACCGAGGACUGCGAUUUUAUCAAGGAUGCUGGCAUAAUGAUCCCAAACCGCCCGCGAA